UCACCGGCGGCGGGGUUCGCGGGUGCGGCGCUGCUCUGGCUGGUGCGCAUAUCUACCUUGUUCUGGGCAUUAGCGGCUGCAGCGCCGCCCGAUGCG
rnacentral:tRNA from 1 species